GAGCAGGUCGUGAGCUGGAGCCGCGGCCCUGGGGGGGACACGCUGGAGCGAGGCGGGGGCCGCGGCUUCCGGUUCUCUGGGCCGACCGAGGAGCAGUACUGCGGACGGGGAAGCCCGGCCUAAUUUCUUUAGUAGAAGGUUGCCUUCUGUCUCUUUUCACCCCUUACUAGAAAGUGGAAGUUGAAAGUUUUUUUCUCAGAACUUCCAGGCCUAUACCCUGUUUCGAGGAGCAGCCGGAGCUGGGAUGUAAACAUUAAAAAAAGUUCACCCAGCAAUGCGGGCUCAAAAAGCUAUUCUGGGACGUACUGCGGCACCGAAUUCUCUAACAGACCUGGUUGUCUGUGCAAGUCUUUUGGUGAGCUAGGAAGUGCCAUAAUGCCAAAGUCUUAUCUAAUUCACCUGAUCAACUCAUGCUUUAAUAAUCAAUGUGAAGAAAGAGGAAAGAAAACAGAAAACAAAUGUGCAUCUAAGGAUUUGUAGCCAUCUUGAACCCUGAGCGGAGCCAGCCCAAGGACAAAGUCAGUAUCCAGAGAGGAUGGUUAAGUGGAGAGAUGGAAAGAAUCUGGGCCAGAUAAUGACAUCCUUGAUCCAUAGAAUCAACCAGCCCUGAAAUCUGCUCUACUU